rnacentral:rRNA from 1 species
UACGGAGGGGGCUAGCGUUGUUCGGAAUUACUGGGCGUAAAGCGCGCGUAGGCGGACCUGCAAGUCGGGGGUGAAAGCCCGAGGCUCAACCUCGGAACUGCCUUCGAUACUGCGGGUCUCGAGUCCGGGAGAGGUGAGUGGAAUUCCUAGUGUAGAGGUGAAAUGCGUAGAGAUCUGGAAGAACACCAAAGGCGAAGGCAGCGUCCUGGCAAGUUCCUAACGCUCAUGUGCGAAAGCUAGGGGAGCGAACGGG